rnacentral:rRNA from 1 species
AACGAACGCUGGCGGCAUGCCUAACACAUGCAAGUCGAACGAGAUCUUCGGGUCUAGUGGCGCACGGGUGCGUAACGCGUGGGAAUCUGCCCUUUGGUUCGGAAUAACAGUUGGAAACGACUGCUAAUACCGGAUGAUGACGAAAGUCCAAAGAUUUAUCGCCAGAGGAUGGGCCCGCGUAGGAUUAGCUAGUUGGGGUGGUAAAGGCGCACCAAGGCGACGAUCCUUAGCUGGUCUGAGAGGAGGAUCAGCCACACUGGGACUGGGACACGGCCCGGACUCCUACGGGAGGCAGCGGUGGGGAAUAUUGCAGAACGGGCGAUAGCCUGAUCGAGCAAUGCCGCGUGAGUGAUGAAGGCCUUAGGGUUGUAAAUCUCUUUUACCCGGGAUGAUAAUGACAUUACCGGGAGAAUAAGCUCCGGCUAACUCCGUGCCAGCCGCCGCCGUAACAC